GACGAACGCUGGCGGCGUGCUUAACACAUGCAAGUCGAACGCUGAAGCUCAGCUUUUGUUGGGUGGAUGAGUGGCGAACGGGUGAGUAACACGUGAGUAACCUGCCUCCUUCUUUGGGAUAACGCCCGGAAACGGGUGCUAAUACUGGAUAUUCACUGGUCUUCGCAUGGUGGUUGGUGGAAAGGGUUUUUCUGGUGGGGGAUGGGCUCGCGGCCUAUCAGCUUGUUGGUGGGGUGAUGGCCUACCAAGGCUUUGACGGGUAGCCGGCCUGAGAGGGUGACCGGUCACAGUGGGACUGAGAUACGGCCCAGACUCGUACGGGAGGCAGCAGUGGGGAAUAUGGCACAAUGGGCGCAAGCCUGAUGCAGCGACGCCGCGUGAGGGAUGGAGGCCUUCGGGUUGUGAACCUCUUUCGCUCAUGGUCAAGCCGCAACAAUGGUUGUGGUGAGGGUAGUGGGUAAAGAAGCGCCGGCUAACUACGUG
rnacentral:rRNA from 1 species